CAGGAUGAACGCUAUCUACAGGCUUAACACAUGCAAGUCGAGGGGCAGCAUGGUCUUAGCUUGCUGAGGCCGAUGGCGACCGGCGCACGGGUGAGUAACACGUAUCCAACCUGCCGUCUACUCUUGGACAGCCUUCUGAAAGGAAGAUUAAUACAAGAUGGCAUCAUGAGUCCGCAUGUUCACAUGAUUAAAGGUAUUCCGGUAGACGAUGGGGAUGCGUUCCAUUAGAUAGUAGGCGGGGUAACGGCCCACCUAGUCUUCGAUGGAUAGGGGUUCUGAGAGGAAGGUCCCCCACAUUGGAACUGAGACACGGUCCAAACUCCUACGGGAGGCAGCAGUGAGGAAUAUUGGUCAAUGGGCGAGAGCCUGAACCAGCCAAGUAGCGUGAAGGAUGACUGCCCUAUGGGUUGUAAACUUCUUUUAUAAAGGAAUAAAGUCGGGUAUGGAUACCCGUUUGCAUGUACUUUAUGAAUAAGGAUCGGCUAACUCCGUGCCAGCAGCCGCGGUAAUACGGAGGAUCCGAGCGUUAUCCGGAUUUAUUGGGUUUAAAGGGAGCGUAGAUGGAUGUUUAAGUCAGUUGUGAAAGUUUGCGGCUCAACCGUAAAAUUGCAGUUGAUACUGGAUAUCUUGAGUGCAGUUGAGGCAGGCGGAAUUCGUGGUGUAGCGGUGAAAUGCUUAGAUAUCACGAAGAACUCCGAUUGCGAAGGCAGCCUGCUAAGCUGCAACUGACAUUGAGGCUCGAAAGUGUGGGUAUCAAACAGGAUUAGAUACCCUGGUAGUCCACACGGUAAACGAUGAAUACUCGCUGUUUGCGAUAUACUGCAAGCGGCCAAGCGAAAGCGUUAAGUAUUCCACCUGGGGAGUACGCCGGCAACGGUGAAACUCAAAGGAAUUGACGGGGGCCCGCACAAGCGGAGGAACAUGUGGUUUAAUUCGAUGAUACGCGAGGAACCUUACCCGGGCUUAAAUUGCAGAUGAAUUACGGUGAAAGCCGUAAGCCGCAAGGCAUCUGUGAAGGUGCUGCAUGGUUGUCGUCAGCUCGUGCCGUGAGGUGUCGGCUUAAGUGCCAUAACGAGCGCAACCCUUGUUGUCAGUUACUAACAGGUUCCGCUGAGGACUCUGACAAGACUGCCAUCGUAAGAUGUGAGGAAGGUGGGGAUGACGUCAAAUCAGCACGGCCCUUACGUCCGGGGCUACACACGUGUUACAAUGGGGGGUACAGAGGGCCGCUACCACGCGAGUGGAUGCCAAUCCCAAAAACCUCUCUCAGUUCGGACUGGAGUCUGCAACCCGACUCCACGAAGCUGGAUUCGCUAGUAAUCGCGCAUCAGCCACGGCGCGGUGAAUACGUUCCCGGGCCUUGUACACACCGCCCGUCAAGCCAUGGGAGCCGGGGGUACCUGAAGUGCGUAAACGCGAGGAGCGCCCUAGGGUAAAACUGGUGACUGGGCC
rnacentral:rRNA from 1 species